UUCCGGUUGAUCCUGCCGGAGGUUACUGCUAUCGGUGUUCGACUAAGCCAUGCAAGUCAUAUGUUCCUCGUGAACAUGGCAUACUGCUCAGUAACACGUGGAUAACCUGCCCUUGGGUCUGGGAUAACCCCGGGAAACUGGGGAUAAUACCGGAUAACGCAUAUGUGCUGGAAUGCUUUAUGCGUAAAACGGAUUCGUCCGCCCAAGGAUGGGUCUGCGGCCUAUCAGGUAGUAGUGGGUGUAAUGUACCUACUAGCCAACGACGGGUACGGGUUGUGAGAGCAAGAGCCCGGAGAUGGAUUCUGAGACAUGAAUCCAGGCCCUACGGGGCGCAGCAGGCGCGAAAACUUUACAAUGCGGGAAACCGUGAUAAGGGAACACCGAGUGCCAGCAUCAUAUGCUGGCUGUCCAGAUGUGUAAACUACAUCUGUUAGCAAGGGCCGGGCAAGACCGGUGCCAGCCGCCGCGGUAACACCGGCGGCCCGAGUGGUGACCGUUAUUAUUGGGUCUAAAGGGUCCGUAGCCGGUUUGGUCAGUCCUCCGGGAAAUCUGAUAGCUUAACUGUUAGGCUUUCGGGGGAUACUGCCAGGCUUGGAACCGGGAGAGGUAAGAGGUACUACAGGGGUAGGAGUGAAAUCUUGUAAUCCCUGUGAGACCACCUGUGGCGAAGGCGUCUUACCAGAACGGGUUCGACGGUGAGGGACGAAAGCUGGGGGCACGAACCGGAUUAGAUACCCGGGUAGUCCUAGCCGUAAACGAUACUCGCUAGGUGUCGGCCACGGUGCGACCGUUGUCGGUGCCGUAGGGAAGCCGUGAAGCGAGCCACCUGGGAAGUACGGCCGCAAGGCUGAAACUUAAAGGAAUUGGCGGGGGAGCACCACAACGGGUGGAGCUUGCGGUUUAAUUGGAUUCAACGCCGGAA
rnacentral:rRNA from 1 species